CCUGCCAUCGAUGUAAACUGAUCUGAGAGCAGCCUUCGGGCGCCGCUGUGUGGUCGCGCUCUGCCCAGCAGGGGGCGGCAGCUCCGUGUUGCUAAACACUAAACGGAGAAGAUCACACCUUUCACACAGGAUGGAGCUCCAUCCAACACAAACUCUGGUCUGAUAAACUCUGGUUUAUCCUGAAGGACUGAUCCUGGACCUGCUGCUGGUCAGAUGAUACUGAUGCUUCACUGCACCUGGAGUCGCUCCACCCUCAGCAGCACAAUCUGGAGUCUUUAUGGAGCUGGACGGGAACAUUAACCACCUCUGACACCUGCGAUGGAGACAUGCAGGCAUUAUCAGAACAUUAUUAGAGGGAAGGAGAGGAGUGUCAGUCAUCUAUCGUGACAUCUAGUGGCAGUCCUAUCAAGCGUCCAAUGCUGGGAAGCAGCGCGACCCCUCGUGUCCAAAAACACCCCCUGUGGACACACACGUAUACAUGCAGAGGUAUCAGGCUCGGAGGUACAGAGAUGCUACUGCACUGGUUGUGGGAGGUUAUGGACAGCCGAGGAACCUCUUUAAUUUAUCAACAGACCGGUUAUUAAUGUUAUGAGUUAUUCUUGUUGCCCCUGCUGACUUGCCUCUGUCUUUAGCCUUUGAUUGCAUUGCAUUUCUUUUGUUUUGCCUAUUUAUUUGAUUUCUGUUUGCUUUUCAUUGUUUAUUUGCUGAUUGCUUUCAUUGGCUAUGGCUGCUUGAAUUAGCUGUUCUGCUUAGGAUACUUGUUUGUUUGUUUAUUGGAACGGCUCAUGCUAAACUAGUUGCUCUGCUCCACUCAGAUUAAUAUGUUUAUUAAUUUAGGAUUGUUGGUGCGCAUUUUAGGCUCUAGAGUUGAAAAUUGUUGGUGUAAUUGCUAUUGUAACAUUGUGGGUAGGCCAGCUAUCAUCGUAAUACUGUAAGGAGUGGUUGUAGUGGCAUUAGCACGGGGCAUAUCACACCGCAAGUGUGUUUAUUUUCUGUAUAACUCUCUUGCAUUUGCUCCACUAGUGAUUUGUAAUUGGGUUUUUUUUUCCUUUUGCAUGUUUGCAGUGUGUGGUGUGCAUUGAGCUGCAGCCUCUCAUUUUAGAGAUGAUUUCUAUGUUGUGGAAUGUGGCUAUGACAUUUGUAUUUUCAAAGAUUGAAUAAUAUUAAAGAAAAUAAAUUAAAUUGUCUUGUAUUUGUACAUGCAUAUGUCUCUGUACUCAUUUUGGGCUUACCUGUGUUUUAUGGGGAAGCCUUUUCUUGAGAGAUGGAGAAAUUAGGUGAUAAAUAAAG